GAUGAAGAUCGUAGCGAAAUGCGAUAAGUAAUGUGAAUUGCAGAAUUCAGUGAAUCAUCGAAUCUUUGAACGCACAUUGCGCCCGCCAGUAUUCUGGCGGGCAUGCCUGUUCGAGCGUCAUUACAACCCUAAGGCCCCCGGGCCUGGCGUUGGGGAUCGGCGGAGCCCCCCGUGGGCACACGCCGUCCCCCAAAUGCAGUGGCGGUCCCGCCGCAGCUUCCAUCGCGUAGUAGCUAACACCUCGCGACUGGAGAGCGGCGCGGCCACGCCGUAAAACACCCAACUCUUCUGAAGUUGACCUCGAAUCAGGUAGGAAUACCCGCUGAACUUAAGCAUAUCAAUAAGCGGAGGA
rnacentral:misc_RNA from 1 species